rnacentral:rRNA from 1 species
AAAUUGAAGAGUUUGAUCAUGGCUCAGAUUGAACGCUGGCGGCAGGCCUAACACAUGCAAGUCGAACGGUAACAGGAAGCAGCUUGCUGCUUUGCUGACGAGUGGCGGACGGGUGAGUAAUGUCUGGGAAACUGCCUGAUGGAGGGGGAUAACUACUGGAAACGGUGGCUAAUACCGCAUAACGUCGCAAGACCAAAGAGGGGGACCUUCGGGCCUCUUGCCAUCAGAUGUGCCCAGAUGGGAUUAGCUUGUUGGUGAGGUAACGGCUCACCAAGGCGACGAUCCCUAGCUGGUCUGAGAGGAUGACCAGCCACACUGGAACUGAGACACGGUCCAGACUCCUACGGGAGGCAGCAGUGGGGAAUAUUGCACAAUGGGCGCAAGCCUGAUGCAGCCAUGCCGCGUGUAUGAAGAAGGCCUUCGGGUUGUAAAGUACUUU